GCUCAGGACGAACGCUGGCGGCGCGCCUAGCACAUGCAAGUCGAACGAGAGAGAGGGAGCUUGCUUCCUCAAUCGAGUGGCGAACGGGUGAGUAACGCGUGAGGAACCUGCCUCAAAGAGGGGGACAACAGUUGGAAACGACUGCUAAUACCGCAUAAGCCCACAGGUCGGCAUCGACCAGAGGGAAAAGGAGCAAUCCGCUUUGAGAUGGCCUCGCGUCCGAUUAGCUAGUUGGUGAGGUAACGGCCCACCAAGGCAACGAUCGGUAGCCGGACUGAGAGGUUGAACGGCCACAUUGGGACUGAGACACGGCCCAGACUCCUACGGGAGGCAGCAGUA
rnacentral:rRNA from 1 species